CUUAACACAUGCAAGUCGAGGGGCAGCAUGGUCUUAGCUUGCUAAGGCCGAUGGCGACCGGCGCACGGGUGAGUAACACGUAUCCAACCUGCCGUCUACUCUUGGACAGCCUUCUGAAAGGAAGAUUAAUACAAGAUGGCAUCAUGAGUCCGCAUGUUCACAUGAUUAAAGGUAUUCCGGUAGACGAUGGGGAUGCGUUCCAUUAGAUAGUAGGCGGGGUAACGGCCCACCUAGUCUUCGAUGGAUAGGGGUUCUGAGAGGAAGGUCCCCCACAUUGGAACUGAGACACGGUCCAAACUCCUACGGGAGGCAGCAGUGAGGAAUAUUGGUCAAUGGGCGAGAGCCUGAACCAGCCAAGUAGCGUGAAGGAUGACUGCCCUAUGGGUUGUAAACUUCUUUUAUAAAGGAAUAAAGUCGGGUAUGGAUACCCGUUUGCAUGUACUUUAUGAAUAAGGAUCGGCUAACUCCGUGCCAGCAGCCGCGGUAAUACGGAGGAUCCGAGCGUUAUCCGGAUUUAUUGGGUUUAAAGGGAGCGUAGAUGGAUGUUUAAGUCAGUUGUGAAAGUUUGCGGCUCAGCCGUAAAAUUGCAGUUGAUACUGGACAUCUUGAGUGCAGUUGAGGCAGGCGGAAUUCGUGGUGUAGCGGUGAAAUGCUUAGAUAUCACGAAGAACUCCGAUUGCGAAGGCAGCCUGCUAAGCUGCAACUGACAUUGAGGCUCGAAAGUGUGGGUAUCAAACAGGAUUAGAUACCCUGGUAGUCCACACGGUAAACGAUGAAUACUCGCUGUUUGCGAUAUACAGCAAGCGGCCAAGCGAAAGCGUUAAGUAUUCCACCUGGGGAGUACGCCGGCAACGGUGAAACUCAAAGGAAUUGACGGGGGCCCGCACAAGCGGAGGAACAUGUGGUUUAAUUCGAUGAUACGCGAGGAACCUUACCCGGGCUUAAAUUGCAGAUGAAUUACGGUGAAAGCCGUAAGCCGCAAGGCAUCUGUGAAGGUGCUGCAUGGUUGUCGUCAGCUCGUGCCGUGAGGUGUCGGCUUAAGUGCCAUAACGAGCGCAACCCUUGUUGUCAGUUACUAACAGGUUCCGCUGAGGACUCUGACAAGACUGCCAUCGUAAGAUGUGAGGAAGGUGGGGAUGACGUCAAAUCAGCACGGCCCUUACGUCCGGGGCUACACACGUGUUACAAUGGGGGGUACAGAGGGCCGCUACCACGCGAGUGGAUGCCAAUCCCCAAAACCUCUCUCAGUUCGGACUGGAGUCUGCAACCCGACUCCACGAAGCUGGAUUCGCUAGUAAUCGCGCAUCAGCCACGGCGCGGUGAAUACGUUCCCGGGCCUUGUACACACCGCCCGUCAAGCCAUGGGAGCCGGGGGUACCUGAAGUGCGUAACCGCGAGGAGCGCCCUAGGGUAAAACUGGUGACUGGGGCUAAGU
rnacentral:rRNA from 1 species